rnacentral:rRNA from 1 species
GACGAACGCUGGCGGCGUGCUUAACACAUGCAAGUCGAACGAUGAACUUGGAGCUUGCUCUGGGGGAUUAGUGGCGAACGGGUGAGUAACACGUGAGUAACCUGCCCUGGACUCUGGGAUAACUUCGAGAAAUCGGAGCUAAUACCGGAUAGGACCUUGCACCGCAUGGUGUGGGGUGGAAAGUUUUUCGGUUUGGGAUGGACUCGCGGCCUAUCAGCUUGUUGGUGAGGUAAUGGCUCACCAAGGCGUCGACGGGUAGCCGGCCUGAGAGGGUGACCGGCCACACUGGGACUGAGACACGGUCCAGACUCCCACGGGAGGCAGCAGUGGGGAAUAUUGCACAAUGGGCGCAAGCCUGAUGCAGCAACGCCGCGUGCGGGAUGACGGCCUUCGGGUUGUAAACCGCUUUUAGUAGGGAAGAAGCCUUCGGGUGACGGUACCUGCAGAAAAAGGACCGGCUAACUACGUGCCAGCCGCCGCAGUAACAC